rnacentral:rRNA from 1 species
UCGAGAAUAUUUAGCAAUGGACGAAAGUCUGACUAUGCGACGCCGCGUGCAGGAUGAAGGUCUUCGGAUUGUAAACUGCUUUUGUUUGGGGCGAAACCUAUGCUGUUAACAGCAUCAUAGCUGACGGUACCAGACGAAUAAGCCACGGCAAACUACGUGCCAGCAGCCGCGGUAAUACGUAGGUGGCAAGCGUUGUCCGGAAUAACUGGGCGUAAAGCGCAUGUAGACGGCAUAGCAAGCCAAGUGUGAAAUUUAGGGGCUUAACCUCUAAACUGCGCUUGGAACUGCUGAGCUUGAGUGCAGGAGAGGCAAGUGGAAUUCCCAGUGUAGCAGUGAAAUGCGUAGAUAUUGGGAGGAACACCAGUGGCGAAGGCGACCUGCUGGACUGCAACUGACGUUGAGAUGCGAAAGCUAGGGGAGCAAACG